rnacentral:rRNA from 1 species
AUUGAACGCUGGCGGCAGGCCUAACACAUGCAAGUCGAACGAGUGGCGGACGGGUGAGUAAUGUCUGGGACACUGCCUGAUGGAGGGGGAUAACUACUGGAAACGGUAGCUAAUCCCGCCUACCAUCAGCUGUGCCCAGAUGGGAUUAGCUUGUUGGUGGGGUAACGGCUCACCAAGGCGACGAUCCCUAGCUGGUCUGAGAGGAUGACAAGCCACAAUGGAAAUGAUACACGGUCCAGACGCGUACGUGAGGCAGCAGUGGGGAAUAUUGCACAAUGGGCGCAAGCCUGAGGCAGACAUGCCGGGUGUAUGAAGAAGGCCGUCGGGUUGUAAAGGACUUUCAGCGGGGAGGCGUUACCCGCAGAAGAAGCACCGGCUAACUCCGUGCCAGCAGCCGCGGUAAUUC